GCAAGAAGAGGAAAAGGAGGUCGCAUCCUGCCAUACCUAUCCACAAAUUUCCUCGGGGGCUGCCGCCGCCGCAUCUUCUCCUCCCCUGGCGAUUCCGCUCUCCUCGCCAUCGAUCUCCUCUGCCUCCAUACCUAACCGCUGCUUCUGAAAAAAUGGCAUGGCUGUAGGUGGGGAGCGACAUGGAUUGGGCGGAAACAAGAGGUACCACCCCUUGACUCCGCAUCUGGUGUCGGUAUGAAGCAGAUAUGGUUGUGGAUGGCGCCAGCGUUUUCUCUUCCCAUCCUUGCUCUCCAUCCGAAACUGUGGUUAAGAUCCUUUUACAUGGAUCCUCCACAUCCAGGUUCUUGAAUCCUCUCCCAUCUCACAAGUAUUACCAUCCAUUGAUCCUCUCGUUCUCAUGGCAGUGGCGGCCGCCGGUGGAAAGCGGUUCUCAAACGGCUACAGUGGGUACAAGAUGUUGAGGUUGGUGCAGAUUUUGCCUCCUCCUUUCUCCCCCUUUUGACGAGGGCCACCUACAGGGGCGCAAAUUUAGGGUGCAGAGCAGGGUGAGCUCCCCAUGAACGCUCAAGUAGGUGUCCUACUGGCCUCAAUGCAACUGAUGAUCUUCAUGUGGGAAGAUAGAUCGUCUUGCCGUUCAAGGGAAGAAACUUUGGAUGCAGGGGAGUCAAUAGAUCUGAGUUGUGCCUCGUGGUAUAGGAUGGCAGUGCUGCUGGUCAAUGGUAACAGAAAAGAUGACGCCAAGCUCGCGGUGCACUAGGAUGCCAUCCGCCUCCCCGAUGGCACGGCCGUCAAGGCCAUGGACCUCUGGAUGCACAAGACACUGGACACCAAGUUCAUGGAUAGUAUAUUUCUCAUCGUCGAGGCAAAAAGAGUUACCUCCUAUCUCAGACACGCUUUUACGGUAUCGGUUUCUUUAAUGCUUAUAGCAUAAUUUGUUGGAGCGAAAAUAAUGUCUAAUUGUGUGCAGAUUGUACUGCAUUGUUUCAACAGUUUCUUCGUAGCUUACAGUGGCUUAUUCUCUGAAUUGGUUUUGGAGGUGGGAAGAAGGUACUGAAGGUUAUCGUGUAAUUAUCUUCGAAAAGUGGGGGUAACGGCCUUUACCGACUACUUGUCUUGUUGAUUAUGAACCCACAAAUAGCUUGUGUUACCUGUCAGUUACUGCUUUCUCUGCAUUUUCCUUGACGCCAUACUAAAAUAUGUGAACCAUGUAAGAUUAAUUAACUCAGUAAUGCAUGGUAAAUGACAAGAUUCUUUGAUGUUGCAUUUUGAAAUGUCCUCUUUUUACCUAUUGUUUUCUUGACACAAACAUUUAUGUGCUUGACAAGAGGAAUAGAAAUCACCCAGGCCAAAGUUUGAUUUAUAUUUUUUAAAGAGGAGACAUUUCAGGUUUGAGGAUGUGCAAUCAAUCGCUGAUGGUUAGGCCUAACACUACAUUUUAAUAUUUCAAUGUAUCCUGCUACAUGGUGCAUUCGGUGACUAAUAUAAAGCUUCUGAUGCUACAUAGUUAACUUCUAGAAAGAACAAGUAAGAAGGAUGUCUCAACUUUUACGUUGCAUUUUGUGUGUGUGUGUAGUCAACCUUAUACAGAACUGAUGUAUCAUGCACUGUAGUACUAGGUCCCAGUAUCGUUUCAGUCCUAUAUUUCUCUAGGAACUGUGUUAGGACCGAUAGGACACUCUGCUGCUUCCAACAAUGGAGCUGUCAUUAUUGUUAGGAUUGGUGGUGUAGAUGAUUACCUAGAAAUAGUUAUGUAUGAUUGAAUGUUGAUUGCAUUUUAUAUGCCAACAAAGAUCCUUUUUUAAAUGCUUCUGCCUUACCACUACUAAUGAUUAUACUAGGCUUAAAUCCAGAUUGUAGAAGCUAGACGACUUGACGCUUUAUUUGGGCUCAUAAAUAAUUUAGUUUAUUUACUUUUCUGUAAUUGUAUUGCUAAAGUUUUCAUUUUUUGGAAAAUGACUCCUGUAACAUUCCCCUUUCGAACAUUAUAUUUGUGUGUAUCUCCGCAUAUCUCACUUUCUCAAUGCAAUCAGCUAACAAUGGAACAUGAUGUUGCAACGAAUGGUAUAAAUGUUACUUUGACUUGUGAGCCAUCUGCAACUUGCAUCCUUGUGGCUAAAGAACAGCACUACACUUGCCGUGCUAUUCUUGUAGCCCCUUCUUCCAAAUAUCCACACUUCAACUAUGCUAACAUUCUGCUGAAUAUGUACUUGCUACUCUGAUUGCUAAGUUCGAAAUAUUUAUCCAUGUUAUACCGAUGUGGAGAAACCUGAAGACCUAUUGACAAGGAGUAGGUGAAGGCAAACACUUGAGAGGAGGGGGACUUCGUUGGUGAGAACGGGUUUGACACAACGCAGACAGUAUGUAGUUGUAGCAUUCGUAGAUGUUCCCUCCAAUACCUGCUACUCAGAUGUUCCCUCCAAUACCUGCUACUCAAAGAAUAUGCCAGGGCCUCAUGACAAUGUGAUACUGCAGUAUCAUGUGUUUUGUUCUGUUGUCUUUUAUGUGUUUCUUCAUUUCAGUUAUGUUUGUGAAUAAGAAAUUUCUGGUGUUGUAUGUAUAUCGUGCAAGAGCAGUCAAUAUUUCCACUUGAAA